ACGCUGGGUCCGGAUGCCGGGAGCGGAAUCUCGGCACUCCCGGAAGUGGCCCGGCGGCGGCGCGCCAGGCCCGGGCAGUGCUUGCUCCUGCUCGGGGCGCUGUGGCCCCGGGCGUCGCCAUGACCAGCGAGCUGGACAUCUUCGUGGGGAACACGACCCUUAUCGACGAGGACGUGUAUCGCCUCUGGCUCGAUGGUUACUCGGUGACCGACGCGGUGGCCCUGCGGGUGCGCUCGGGAAUCCUGGAGCAGACGGGCGCCACGGCAGCGGUGUUGCAGAGCGACACCAUGGACCAUUACCGCACUUUCCACAUGCUCGAGCGGCUGUUGCACGCGCCGCCCAAGCUACUGCACCAGCUCAUCUUCCAGAUUCCGCCCUCCCGGCAGGCACUACUCAUCGAGAGGUACUAUGCCUUUGAUGAGGCCUUUGUUCGGGAGGUGCUGGGCAAGAAGCUGUCCAAAGGCACCAAGAAAGACCUGGAUGACAUCAGCACCAAAACAGGCAUCACCCUCAAGAGCUGCCGGAGACAGUUUGACAACUUUAAGCGGGUCUUCAAGGUGGUAGAGGAAAUGCGGGGCUCCCUGGUGGACAAUAUUCAGCAACACUUCCUCCUCUCUGACCGGUUGGCCAGGGACUAUGCAGCCAUCGUCUUCUUUGCUAACAACCGCUUUGAGACAGGGAAGAAAAAACUGCAGUAUCUGAGCUUCGGUGACUUUGCCUUCUGCGCUGAGCUCAUGAUCCAAAACUGGACCCUUGGAGCCGUCGGUGAGGCCCCCACUGACCCAGACUCGCAGAUGGAUGACAUGGACAUGGACUUAGACAAGGAAUUUCUCCAGGACUUGAAGGAGCUCAAGGUGCUAGUGGCUGACAAGGACCUUCUGGACCUGCACAAGAGCCUGGUGUGCACUGCUCUCCGGGGAAAGCUGGGUGUCUUCUCUGAGAUGGAAGCCAACUUCAAGAAAGCAGAACUCCCAGGAUCCCUGCCCCACAGAACCUGUCCCGGGGGCUGGUGAACGUGGCAGCCAAGCUGACCCACAAUAAAGAUGUCAGAGACCUGUUCGUGGACCUCGUGGAGAAGUUUGUGGAACCCUGCCGCUCCGACCACUGGCCACUCGGCGACGUGCGGUUCUUCCUGAAUCAGUAUUCAGCGUCUGUCCACUCCCUCGAUGGCUUCCGACACCAGGCCCUCUGGGACCGCUACAUGGGCACCCUCCGCGGCUGCCUCCUGCGCCUGUAUCAUGACUGAGGCCCCUCCCAACGCUCCGCCCACACUGACAAUAAAGUUGCUCUGAGUUUGGA